GGCUUUGAGAGAGAAGGGCUCUGAACAGGGGAGAUUUCUCUGGUGAAGAGAGAAGUGGGGCUUGGCUGGAGGGAGGGUUGAAUCUGUUCUCCACUGGAAAGCCAAGGCCUGUUCAGGGGAAGAGCCAAUAGUCUUCAGGAGCAGAAUCUCUGUGACCAAGCAAGGCACCUGAACCCUGGAGUAGAGAAAGAGGUUAUUCACACACAGACACGCAAAACCAGGCUAAGGGAGCCAAGCCCGGUUUUCCAUGCACAUGUAUACCACCAGGAUUGGGUCAAUCCUGGUGGCACUACGGCAGCAUAUCUGCCUAUAAAGCCUCCCUUUAAAAUGAGGUUAAGGGAACACUUGUUUUUACAAUCAUCUGUCAGACAUGGCUACAAGCAGCUGCAACUAGCACACUUGGAGAGGGGAGGGCGUCCCCAUAAUGCACCACACACUCACGCCAUGCAUUAUUGGAGCUCCAGGGGGCAGGACAAUGCAACACAACACAUCCCAGCACUCUGACCCUCAUAGCUGCCAGCGGCAGCCGGUGCUCACUUGGCAGGUGAUCUGCCCACCCAGGGAAGCUGGAAUGAUCAUCUACAGGGAGAGGGGAACGGUUUAUUGGAUCCAAGUUCGGCAAGUUCAAACAAAAGCAUGGAGAACAUUUAUGGAAAAUCAUUUUUAUAACACAUCAUUCACUCAGCCACAUAACCAGUGAGGUCAUUGAGGCUAAAAACUGCAGAGAACCUUGAGGAGUGGCUGCUUCAUCUAUCCGGUGUGGAUUACAAACAUCUGUGAGACUCCUGUGGUCUAUUCUGAACAGGGGAUUGGAGUUUGUUCUUUAAUUUAAAUACAUAUAUAUGUAAAAUUGGUAUUUGUUUACAUUGAUUACUUUAAAUCUUUUUAAUUAUUACAUUUGCCUCGAAAUUCACUUCAGUAUUGGUCGCUGGAUUGUGGACUCUGAGAGAAAUAGGAAAGGAUUACAUAUGUAUAAGUUAUCGUACCAAUCUUUUUUUUAAAUGAAGUGUUGUACCAAGAGUAAAUCCAA